rnacentral:rRNA from 1 species
GGCUCAGGAUGAACGCUAGCUACAGGCUUAACACAUGCAAGUCGAGGGCAGCGCAGUGUAGCAAUACAUGGGCGGCGACCGGCGCACGGGUGCGUAACGCGUAUCCAACCUUCCCGUUACUCAGGGAUAGCCUUCCGAAAGGGAGAUUAAUACCUGAUGGUGUUUGAAUUCCGCAUGUUAUUCAAACUAAAGAUUUAUCGGUAACGGAUGGGGAUGCGUGACAUUAGCUAGAUGGCGGGGUAACGGCCCACCAUGGCGACGAUGUCUAGGGGUUCUGAGAGGAAGGUCCCCCACACUGGAACUGAGACACGGUCCAGACUCCUACGGGAGGCAGCAGUGAGGAAUAUUGGUCAAUGGUCUGACGACUGAACCAGCCAUGCCGCGUGAAGGUGACGGCCCUAUGGGUCUUAAACUUCUUUUGCAAGGGAGCAAUAAGGCGUACGUGUACGUCGAUGAGAGUACCUUGCGAAUAAGCAUCGGCUAACUCCGUG